rnacentral:lncRNA from 1 species
AACGGUACAUAAAAUGUCGCGACUUUUGCGAAAUUACCGUUUUGCCAACACCGACCUUUCCUCGAUCAACGCGCGAUCUCCGCAGAUCCGUCUGUUCGAUUUACGAACGGAUUGCACCAGUGCGAUCAGCACGACGGAGACAACAAAGCUACGAUUUCGUUUCUCCUUGAUCGGUCUUGGAUUCGCGACGAACUCGGUCCAUCAUUCCAAUGAAAGAAACUACGCACAAAUACAUAUAAAACAUAUAUUUUCCAAUUUUAUCGAAAUCCGUACGUCAAACCCAAAAUCCGUCAGUGCCACUAGUUCCAGAAUAGCUGAACCGGUCGAAAC